rnacentral:misc_RNA from 1 species
AAGUCGUAACAAGGUUUCCGUAGGUGAACCUGCGGAAGGAUCAUUACAGAGUUCAUGCCCUUCGGGGUAGACCUCCCACCCUUUGUAUACCUUGCCUUUGUUGCUUUGGCGGGCCGCCUUUUGGCCACCGGCUCCGGCUGGUGCGCGCCCGCCAGAGAACCCCAAACCCUGUCUUACAGUGUCGUCCGAGUACUAUAUAAUAGUUAAAACUUUCAACAACGGAUCUCUUGGUUCUG